AUUGAACGCUGGCGGAAUGCUUUACACAUGCAAGUCGAGCGGCAGCGCGGGGCAACCUGGCGGCGAGCGGCGAACGGGUGAGUAAUGCAUCGGAACAUGUCCAUGUCGUGGGGGAUAGCCCGGCGAAAGCCGGAUUAAUACCGCAUACGCUCGAGAGAGGAAAGCCGGGGACCGCAAGGCCUGGCGCGAUUGGGUUGGCCGAUGUCCGAUUAGCUAGUUGGUGAGGUAAAGGCUUACCAAGGCGAUGAUCGGUAGCUGGUCUGAGAGGAUGAUCAGCCACACUGGGACUGAGACACGGCCCAGACUCCUACGGGAGGCAGCAGUGGGGAAUUUUGGACAAUGGGGGGCAACCCUGAUCCAGCCAUGCCGCGUGAGUGAAGAAGGCCUCGGUUGUUAAAGGACUCUUUCGGUCCGGGAAGGAAAGUACGCAUGGGUUAAUACCCUGUGUGGAUGACGGUACCGGCGAUAAAGAAGGACACCGGACUAACUACGUAGCCAGCAGCCGCGGUAA
rnacentral:rRNA from 1 species